rnacentral:ncRNA from 1 species
AAUCACUAGGGGCGCCAACUGGCUGAGAUAGUAUAAAUACUUGUCCCUUACACCUGAUCCAGAUCAUGCUGGCGUAGGGAAGUGUAGUC